UCCUACGGGUGGCAGCAGUGGGGAAUCUUGCACAAUGGGCGAAAGCCUGAUGCAGCGACGCCGCGUGCGGGAAGAAGGCCUUCGGGUCGUAAACCGCUUUCAGCAGGGACGAGGCGCAAGUGACGGUACCUGCAGAAGAAGCCCCGGCUAACUACGUGCCAGCAGCCGCGGUAAUACGUAGGGGGCAAGCGUUAUCCGGAUUCAUUGGGCGUAAAGCGCGCGUAGGCGGCCUGCUAGGUCGGGAGUCAAAUCCGGGGGCUCAACCCCCGCCCGCUCCCGAUACCGGCGGGCUUGAGUCUGGCAGGGGAAGGUGGAAUUCCAAGUGUAGCGGUGGAAUGCGCAGAUAUUUGGAAGAACACCGGUGGCGAAGGCGGCCUUCUGGGCCACGACUGACGCUGAGGCGCGAAAGCUAGGGGAGCGAACAGGAUUAGAUACCCUUGUAGUC
rnacentral:rRNA from 1 species